AGAGACCGGCGCACGGGUGCGUAACGCGUAUGCAAUCUACCUUUCACAAAGGGAUAGCCCAGAGAAAUUUGGAUUAAUACCUUAUAGUAAUACGCCUUGGCAUCAAGAUGUAUUUAAAGAUUUAUCGGUGAAAGAUGAGCAUGCGUCCCAUUAGCUUGUUGGUAAGGUAACGGCUUACCAAGGCAACGAUGGGUAGGGGUCCUGAGAGGGAGAUCCCCCACACUGGUACUGAGACACGGACCAGACUCCUACGGGAGGCAGCAGUGAGGAAUAUUGGACAAUGGGCGCAAGCCUGAUCCAGCCAUGCCGCGUGCAGGAUGACGGUCCUAUGGAUUGUAAACUGCUUUUGUACAGGAAGAAACCCUUUCACGUGUGGAAGAUUGACGGUACUGUAAGAAUAAGGAUCGGCUAACUCCGUGCCAGCAGCCGCGGUAAUACGGAGGAUCCAAGCGUUAUCCGGAAUCAUUGGGUUUAAAGGGAGCGUAGGUGGCUCGAUAAGUCAGAUGUGAAAUCCCCGGGCUCAACCUGGGA
rnacentral:rRNA from 1 species